rnacentral:rRNA from 1 species
GACCGGGACGAAGCGAGAGUGACGGUACCGGUAGAAGAAGCACCGGCCAACUACGUGCCAGCAGCCGCGGUAAUACGUAGGGUGCGAGCGUUGUCCGGAAUUAUUGGGCGUAAAGAGCUCGUAGGCGGUGUGUCGCGUCGGUCGUGAAAACUUGGGGCUCAACCCUGAGCGUGCGGUCGAUACGGGCAUCACUUGAGUUCGGCAGGGGAGACUGGAAUUCCUGGUGUAGCGGUGAAAUGCGCAGAUAUCAGGAGGAACACCGGUGGCGAAGGCGGGUCUCUGGGCCGAUACUGACGCUGAGGAGCGAAAGCGUGGGGAGCGAACAGGAUUAGAUACCCUGGUAGUCCACGCCGUAAACGGUGGGCACUAGGUGUGGGGGCCAUUCCACGGUCUCUGUGCCGCAGCUAACGCAUUAAGUGCCCCGCCUGGGGAGUACGGCCGCAAGGCUAAAACUCAAAGGAAUUGACGGGGGCCCGCACAAGCGGCGGAGCAUGUGGAUUAAUUCGAUGCAACGCGAAGAACCUUACCUGGGUUUGACAUGCACUAGACGCGUCUAGAGAUAGGCGUUCCCUUGUGGCUGGUGUGCAGGUGGUGCAUGGCUGUCGUCAGCUCGUGUCGUG